rnacentral:rRNA from 1 species
UACGUAGGGGGCAAGCGUUGUCCGGAUUUAUUGGGCGUAAAGAGCGUGUAGGCGGUUUGGUAGGUCCGCUGUGAAAACUCGAGGCUCAACCUCGAGACGCCGGUGGAAACCAUCAGGCUAGAGUCCGGAAGAGGAGAGUGGAAUUCCUGGUGUAGCGGUGAAAUGCGCAGAUAUCAGGAAGAACACCCGUGGCUAAGGCGGCUCUCUAGUACGGUACUGACGCUGAGACGCGAAGGCGUGGGGAGCGAACAGG